CAAAGCCGCACAUGGCUCAUUACAACAGCCACAGUUUAUUAGAUCGUACUUUCCUACUUGGAUAACUGUGGUAAUUCUAGAGCUAAUACACGCAGCAAAGCUCGGACUCACGAACGAGCGCAUUUAUUAGAGCAAAACCAAUCGGGCUUCGGCCCGUUCUUUGGUGAAUCUGAAUAACUCUGCAGAUCGCACGGUCUCGCACCGGCGACGCAUCUUUCAAAUGUCUGCCUUAUCAACUUUCGAUGGUAGUUUAUACGCCUACCAUGGUUGUAACGGGUAACGGAGAAUAAGGGUUCGACUCCGGAGAGGGAGCCUGAGAAACGGCUACCACAUCCAAGGAAGGCAGCAGGCACGCAAAUUACCCACUCCCGGCACGGGGAGGUAGUGACGAAAAAUAACGAGGCGGUUCUCUACGAGGCCCGCCAUCGGAAUGGGUACAAUUUAAAUCCUUUAACGAGGAUCUAUUGGAGGGCAAGUCUGGUGCCAGCAGCCGCGGUAAUUCCAGCUCCAAUAGCGUAUAUUAAAGUUGUUGCGGUUAAAAAGCUCGUAGUUGGAUCUGCGGUCAAGGGAAUCGGUCCUCCGACGGAUGGUACUGGUUUUCCUGACCUAACUACUUCGGUUUUCCCUUGAUGCUCUUAACCGGGUGUCUUGGGCGACCGAAACGUUUACUUUGAAAAAAUUAGAGUGCUCAAAGCAGGCGUUCAGCCUGAAUAGUGGUGCAUGGAAUAAUAAAAGAGGAUCUCGGUUCUAUUUUGUUGGUAUUGGAUUGAGAUAAUGAUCGAUGGGGAUAGACGGGGGCAU
rnacentral:rRNA from 2 species